rnacentral:rRNA from 1 species
GACGAACGCUGGCGGCGUGCUUAACACAUGCAAGUCGAACGAUGAAGCCGGAGCUUGCUCUGGUGAAUUGGUGGCGAACGGGUGAGUAACACGUGAGUAACCUGCCCUUGACUCUGGGAUAACUGCGGGAAACUGUAGCUAAUACCGGAUACGACCCUCGGAGGCAUCUCCUGGGGGUGGAAAGAAUUUCGGUCAAGGAUGGACUCGCGACCUAUCAGCUAGUUGGUGAGGUAAAGGCCCACCAAGGCGACGACGGGUAGCCGGCCUGAGAGGGUGACCGGCCACACUGGGACUGAGACACGGCCCAGACUCCUACGGGAGGCAGCAGUGGGGAAUAUUGCACAAUGGGCGCAAGCCUGAUGCAGCAACGCCGCGUGAGGGAUGACGGCCUUCGGGUUGUAAACCUCUUUUAGCAGGGAAGAAGCGAAAGUGACGGUACCUGCAGAAAAAGCACCGGCUAACUACGUGCCAGCCGCCGCCGCGG